rnacentral:rRNA from 1 species
UACGUAGGUGGCGAGCGUUGUCCGGAUUUACUGGGCGUAAAGAGCGCGCAGGCAGUCGUUCAAGUCGGAUGUGAAAGCCCCCGGCUCAACUGGGGAGGGUCAUUCGAUACUGAUCGACUCGAAGGCAGGAGAGGGAAGCGGAAUUCCCGGUGUAGUGGUGAAAUGCGUAGAUAUCGGGAGGAACACCAGUGGCGAAGGCGGCUUCCUGGCCUGUUCUUGACGCUGAGGCGCGAAAGCUAGGGGAGCAAACGGG